UUACGGUCACAUCACGUUGAAACACCGGUUCCAGUACGAUUACCGAAGUUAAGCAACGUCGAGCCUGGUCAGUACCUACAUGGGUGACCACUUGAGAGG